UACGUAGGGGGCAAGCGUUAUCCGGAAUUACUGGGUGUAAAGGGAGCGUAGACGGUAAUGUAAGUCUGGAGUGAAAGGCGGGGGCCCAACCCCCGGACUGCUCUGGAAACUAUGUUACUAGAGUGCAGGGGAGGUAAGCGGAAUUCCUAGUGUAGCGGUGAAAUGCGUAGAUAUUAGGAGGAACACCGGUGGCGAAGGCGGCUUACUGGACUGUAACUGACGUUGAGGCUCGAAAGCGUGGGGAGCAAACAGG
rnacentral:rRNA from 1 species